rnacentral:rRNA from 1 species
UACGUAGGGGGCUAGCGUUGUCCGGAUUUAUUGGGCGUAAAGAGCGUGUAGGCGGCCAGGUAGGUCUGCUGUGAAAACUCGAGGCUCAACCUCGAGAUGUCGGCGGAAACCACUUGGCUAGAGUCCGGAAGAGGAGAGUGGAAUUCCUGGUGUAGCGGUGAAAUGCGCAGAUAUCGAGAGGAACACCUGCGGCGAAGGCGGGUUGCUGGGCUGAUACUGACGCUGAUGCGCGAAAGCCAGGGGAGCGAACGGG